ACAACAGGUUAAUAUUCCUGUGCUGCUAUCUUGACGUUUGAGCUUGGGAUGACGGGGACACAAGAAUUAGCAAACCUAGUAGACAUGGUUUGUUCAAGCUGGAGAUAACGCUCUAGGCAAAUCCGGAGCAAUAUGGUAUCGAAGGCGAGUACGUUGGCUCUUGGCCUAGAAGUAAUUGGAGUGUCCUCCAAGAAAUAAUCUCGUUAGCGAGUUAAUUUGGCAACCGUACUAAAACUGACACAGGUAGGCAGGGAGAGAAUCCCAAGGUGCUCGAGAGAACCCUCGUUAAGGAAUUCGGCAAAGAUACUCCGUAACUUCGGGAUAAGGAGUGCCUUUUUAGCUUCGGUUAAAAAGGUCGCAGUGAAGAAGGUUUGGGCGACUGUUUACUAAAAACACAGGUCUCUGCUAAAAUGUAUAAUUGACGUAUAGAGACUGACGCGUGCUCGAUGCCAGAAAGUUAAGGGGAUAGGUUAUUUCCUUCGGGAGAGAAGCUUGGAACUGAAGCUCUGGUGAAUGGCGGCUCUAACUAUGAGAGUCCUAAGGUAGCGAAGUUCCUUGUCGGGUAAUUUCCGACGCGCAUGAAUCGCGUAACGACCUGGACACUGUCUCAACGAGGGACUCGGCGAAAUUGUAGUUGUGGUGAAGAUGCCACAUACCCGCGGAAAGACGGAAAGACCCCGUGAACCUUUACUGUAGCUUAUUAUUGAAUUUUGAUGCAGUAUGUGUAGGAUAGGUGGGAGACUAUGAAGUCCCGACGUAAGUUUGGAUGGAGUCAUUGGUGAAAUACCACUCUUAUUAUGUUAAAAUUCUAAUGGAAUUCCGUGAAUCCGGGUUCUUGACAGUGGUAAGUGGGCAGUUUGACUGGGGCGGUCUCCUCCGAAAAAGUAACGGAGGAGUCCAAAGGCUUCCUCAAUACGGUUGGCAACCGUAUGUAGAGUGUAAAGGCAUAAGGAAGCUUAACUGCGAGACCUAUAAGUCGAGCAGGUGUGAAAGCAGGGCUUAGUGAUCCGGCGGUUUCUGAGUGGAAAGGCCGUCGCUCAACAGAUAAAAGGUACUCCGGGGAUAACAGGCUGAUCUCCCCCAAGAGUCCAUAUCGACGGGGAGGUUUGGCACCUCGAUGUCGGCUCAUCGCAUCCUGGGGCUGAAAGCGGUCCCAAGGGUUCUGGAGUUCACAGAUUAAAGCGGUACGCGAGCUGGGUUUAGACCGUCGUGAGACAGGUCGGUCCCUAUCUUCCGUGGGCGUACGAUAUUUGAGAAAAUCUGCCUCUAGUACGAGAGGAUCGAGGUGGACGAACCUAUGGUGAAUCAGUUGUUGUGCUAACAGCAUGGCUGAGUAGCUAAGUUCGGAAAGGAUAAACGCUGAAAGCAUAUAAGCGUGAAGCCUGCUUUAAGACUAGAUAUCGUUCUCUAAUUUAUUAGGGUGAAGACAUCUUAAAGACUAUGAGAUUGAUAGGCCAGGUGUGUAAGUCCGGUAACGGAUUCAGCUAACUGGUACUAAUUUGUCGAGAGUUUUAAUCAC
rnacentral:rRNA from 1 species